AGUGAACGCUGGCGGCAGGCCUAACACAUGCAAGUCAAACGGCAGCACAGUAAGAGCUUGCUCUUACGGGUGGCCAGUGGCGGACGGGCCACGAAUACAUCGGAAUCCACUUUUUCGUGGGGGAUAACGUAGGGAAACCUACACUAAUACCGCAUACGACCUACGGGUGAAAGCAGGGGAUCUUCGGCCCUUGCGCGCUUUCAUCAGCCGACGUCGGAUUAGCCAGUUGGCGGGGUAAAGGCCCACCAAGCCGACGCUCCGUAGCUGGUCUGAAAGAGUGAUGCACAACACUGGGACUGAGACACGGUGCCGACUCCUAGGGGGGGCAGCAGUUGGGAAUAUUAGACAAGGGACGCAAGCCUGAUCCAGGCAUACCGCGUAGUGGAUGAAGGACUCCGGGUUGUGAAGCGCUUUUGUUGGGAUAGAAAGGCAGCGGGUUAAGACCCCGCGAUUAUGACGGUACCCAACGAAUAAGCACCGGCUAACUUCGUG
rnacentral:rRNA from 1 species